AGUACAGACGAGUUUGAUCCUGGCUCAGGAUGAACGCUAGCGGCAGGCCUAAUACAUGCAAGUCGAACGGAAUAUAGUUUUCGGAUUAUAUUUAGUGGCGCACGGGUGAGUAACACGUACAUAACUUACCCUCAAGAGGGGGAUAGCCUUGGGAAACUGAGCGUAAUACCCCAUAGUAUUAUUGAACGGCAUCGUUUGAUAAUUAAAGCUACGGCGCUUGAGGAUAGAUGUGCGUCUGAUUAGCUAGUUGGUAAGGUAACGGCUUACCAAGGCGACGAUCAGUAGGGGGCGUGAGAGCGUGGCCCCCCACACGGGUACUGAGACACGGACCCGACUCCUACGGGAGGCAGCAGUAAGGAAUAUUGGUCAAUGCCCGGAAGGGUGAACCAGCCAUGCCGCGUGAAGGAUGACUGCCCUCUGGGUUGUAAACUUCUUUUGGAUGGGACGAAAAAACGGGAUUUAUCCUGGACUGACGGUACCAUCAGAAUAAGCACCGGCUAACUCCGUG
rnacentral:rRNA from 1 species